CCUACGGGUGGCAGCAGUGAGGAAUAUUGGUCAAUGGGCGCGAGCCUGAACCAGCCAAGUAGCGUGAAGGAUGACUGCCCUACGGUUUGUAAACUUCUUUUAUAAAGGAAUAAAGUUAGGCACGUGUGCCUUUUUGUAUGUACUUUAUGAAUAAGGAUCGGCUAACUCCGUGCCAGCAGCAGCGGUAAUACGGAGUAGCCGGUCGUUAUCCGGAUUUAUUGGGUUUAAAGGGAGCGUAGAUGGGUUGUUAAGUCAGUUGGGAAAGUGUGCGGCUCAAACGUAAAAUUGCAAUUGAUACUGGCAGCCUUGAGUACAGUUGAGGUAGGCGGAAUUCGUGGUGUAGCGGUGAAAUGCUUAGAUAUCACGAAGAACUCCGAUUGCGAAGGCAGCCUACUAAACUGCCACUGACAUUGAUGCUCGAAAGUGUGGGUAUCAAACAGGAUUAGAUACCCGUGUAGUC
rnacentral:rRNA from 1 species